rnacentral:tRNA from 1 species
UGCUCUAACCCUCUGAGCUAAGUGGGC